UCUUCUCCAUUUUUGUGGGUGCCGAAUACACCAUAACUCACAACACCAAGCUUUAUUCUUUGAUUUUCUCUCAAAAAAUUUCUUCACGAAAAUUGUCGGGAAUAUUGCGUAGAUCGUGUAGGUGUAUUUGCAUGUUGAAUCAAGAUCCAGCGAGUUUUGUCGCGGAAACCGGCGAGCAAAGGUUUUGAAUAUUCGACGGGUGGUAUUUUUAUAUUUGGAAUAAGCGAGUACUGUGAGUGUGUUUACAACUUAUACUGCUAAAUAUUAGUAUUAAAAAUAUUGCGAACUGCUUUACAUGAUUUGCAAAUGCUUUAUUUUAUUUUGAAUUUAAAUCGCAUGAACUAUUCAUAGUGUUGAAACCGAUUUAGAUUCAUUGAAACAUGCUUACUAUUGGGCGGCAAUAGUGCUGUGUGAUCACCGGUAUUGCAUUUAGAAUGGGUUGCAUGUGAAUAUACUGUGUGAAUCCUGGCGACGGCCUGGAAAGUCAGGCGACGGCCUAGACUCUGUGUGAACAGAUCUUCAGAGGCAACGGAAUAUAGACGACCAAAGGCAGUCAGCAAACUGCCGAGAUCUGAGAGGUUGAACCUUUUAUAAAAAAAAAGUGAAAUUGGCGACAGUAUUUAUGUACUGCCGAAAUCCGUUGUAUUGUAAGAAGAGUCUGGGACUUUCAAAUACGUAAAAUAAGAAUAAUCGGAUUUGACUGGCUAAAAGUACAAAAAGAGAAAAUAAAUACGGCCAAAGAAAAAUAAAAGGUUAACCCGAAUGGAAUUGGAAAAAAAAAUGGAAUAUUUAUGUUUCCUGUGUUGAAAGCAUAUAGGAACAUGAAUCAUGGUUUAGGGUUUCAUAUGAAUCGGUAAUCUGGAAUGCAUUGCUUUCAUAUUAAUGUUUAUUAGUACAUGUUGUACGCAUUCA